rnacentral:rRNA from 1 species
GACGAACGCUGGCGGCGUGCUUAACACAUGCAAGUCGAAGGGAAAGGCCCUGCUUUUGUGGGGUGCUCGAGUGGCGAACGGGUGAGUAACACGUGAGUAACCUGCUCUUGACUUUGGGAUAACUUCAGGAAACUGGGGUUACUACCGGAUCGGAGCUGCUGCUGCAUGGUGGGGGUUGGAUAGAUUCGGCGGUUGGGGAUGGGCUAGCGGCUUAUCAGCUGGUUGGUUGGGGAGUGGCUUACCAAGGCUUUGACGGGUAGCCGGCCUGAGAGGGUGACCGGCCAAAGUGGGACUGAGAUACGGCACAGACUCCUGAGGGAGGCAGCAGUGGGGAAUAUUGCACAAUGGGCGGAAGCCUGAUGCAGCAACGCCGCGUGAGGGAUGACGGCCUUCGGGUUGUAGACCGCUUUCGCCUGUGACCGAGCGUGAGUGACGGUAAUGGGUAAAGAAGCACCGGCUAACUACGUG